UGCAGCCCGCUGGCUGGGUGCUCUCCACAGGACCCCCCCGGCCCCCCCGGCCCCCUGCUGUUCCCAUGAUGCCUCAGUGACUCCUACUAUAUGAUACUAAUCAUACUCUGCUUUUAUAACACAAGGUCUGCUCUGUUUUCAACUACUAAUGUCUUGAGGCAACACCUUUUUUCUACACUACAAUGUUUAAACCCUUCCCGUUUCUCUUCUUGGUUCUGCCAAUAGUCACUUUGUGUGUGUUUGUGCGUGCGUGCGUGUGUGCGUGCACGUGUGUCUGUGUGUGAGUGAGUGAAAAAGCGGAAGGCUUGGAUUGCUGACACUACACAGAUAAAAGCCCACAGGAUGUGCACACAAACAAAACGCACAAAAGGCUUUUAAUUUGAAAGAUUUGUAUCCACUCGUUCCUCCGCCUCCUGUAGACGUGGACACGGCAGUCUGUCUGUCUGACUUAACCAGACAAUGAACUACAUUCCAAAGAGAGUGUGUGUGUGUGUGUGUGUGUGUGUGUGUGUGUGUGUGUGUGUGUGUGUGUGUGUGUGUGUGUGUGUGUGUGUGUGUGUGUGUGUGUGUGUGUGUGUGUGUGUGUGUGUGUCAUUUACACAGAAUGUUUUCUCCGUGUUUGAGUAGCUAGCAGCACUCAAACCAAUAGCUUUAAUUUCAGCCUCAUUGCCAAGACACCCAAGUGACAUAAUGCUGUUUAGUUUGAGUCCUUAUUUGGGCCGCUGCACCUGCCGCGACCUCUGACCCCUCAGUGCACACUAACGAGUGGGCGUGUCUCCUCUGAGGAGGACCUCGUUAGCCACCAGGAGGAGGCCCCAGGGGCUCAGAAGAGCGUUGGUUUGAGAUGUUCAGGUUCGAUUCCCAUCGCAGACCGCGGUCUUCAGCUUUCUGUUUAACUGAGAUCUGAGUGUUUCACUACGAGCGUCUGAGUCAUGACUCUAACAACGUGUGUGUGUGUGUGUGUGUGUGUCUCUAACUAGCCUACAGAUCUUUUAUAUAAUCGCAGUUGAACCACCUCAAUGGGUUCCUCAGAAGAUGUUGAUUGUUGACACAUGUCCUACCAGUCAGCCUCUGGUGACCCCCCCGUAGACGCCACUGGUCGUACUGGUCCUCCAGGGUCGGGGGAGCUGGUACCUCCAGCGUCCUCCAGGCCACCGGCUGGCUGCUGGUCUGGGGGUCCCAGCCAGCGCACGCCUUUUAUUUAUUCAGGGUUUUGGAGAAGCUUGUUGCUCCAGGUGGUCCCUGAGGGCCCGGUCCUGUGGGCCCGGUCCAGGGGCCAGGGCCGGGUCCAGGUCCGGCUCCGUUUCCGGGGCCGGAUCCAGGUCCAGGUCCGGGUCCGGGUCCGGGUCCGGCUCCGGCUCCGUGUCCGGGUCCAGGGCCUGGUCCAGGGCCUGGUCCGGGGCCGGGUCCAGACUUCUCGUGUCUGUGGACGCAAGGCCGAGUGGAGCUGAGGAGGAAAGGCUGGGGGUCGUAGUGGAUCCUCCUUCCUGUGGUUGAAGUUGUAGUGUGGCGCUGUGACCUGAGGGGGCGCUGUCCCCUGAGACCAGGGGUCUCCUGUUGGACUCAGGGAGGGGGGGCCGGCUUAUAGUCCACUGACGGUGACUGUUAUCAUCCUGAUCGCUCAGCGUUCCUCUGGUGAGGUUCGUUGCUCCGAUUCAAUGUUCACGGAACGGCUCGCAGGCUAGGUGGCUCGCAGGCUAGGUGUAACGCAGGCUAGGUGGCUCGCAGGCUAGGUGGCUCGCAGGCUAGGUGGCUCGCAGGCUAGGUGUAACGCAGGCUAGGUGGCUCGCAGGCUAGGUGGCUCGCAGGCUAGGUGUAACGCAGGCUAGGUGUAACGCAGGCUAGGUCGCUAACAGGCUAACCCAGUUGGUGAUGUUCUGGGGCCGCUAGCUCGCAGCGCUAACAGGCUAACCCAGUUGGGGAUGUUCUGGGGCUGCUAGCUUGCAGCGUUAACAGGCUAACCCAGCAGGGGGUGUUGUGGGGGCGCUAGCUCCCAGCGCUACCACGCUAGGCGGCUAACAGGCUAACCCAGUAGGGGGUGUUGUGGGGCCGCUAGCUCCCAGCGCUACCUGGCUAGGCGGCUAACAGGCUAACCCAGCAGGGGGUGUUGUGGGGGAGCUAGCUCCCAGCGCUACCAGGCUAGGAGGCUAACAGGCUAACCCAGCAGGGGGUGUUGUGGGGGAGCUAGCUCUCAGCGCUACCAGGCUAGGCAGCUAACAGGCUUACCCAGUAGGGGGUGUUGUGGGGGAGCUAGCUCUCAGCGCUACCAGGCUAGGAGGCUAACAGGCUAACCCAGCAGGGGGUGUUGUGGGGGAGCUAGCUCUCAGCGCUACCAGGCUAGGCAGCUAACAGGCUUACCCAGUAGGGGGUGUUGUGGGGGAGCUAGCUCUCAGCGCUACCAGGCUAGGAGGCUAACAGGCUAACCCAGCAGGGGGUGUUGUGGGGGAGCUAGCUCUCAGCGCUACCAGGCUAGGCAGCUAACAGGCUUACCCAGCAGGGGGUGUUGUGGGGCUGCUAGCUCUCAGCGCUACCGGGCUACAUGCUACCCACCUGGAGACUGGAGGGUUGUAGAGUUCGUUGAGUUCAUUAAAACAAUGCUGGUUAAAUCGUGUGUUUCCCCCCUAGUCACUAUAGAGAUGCUAUCUGUACAUUUGGAGUUAUUUCCAAUUUCAAAACACUCAAAGUGGUUUAUGACUCAUUAAAAAAAGGACAGAAAAAGUCAACGUGCGGGAGGAGAGGGUCACAGCGAUGUGAAGGUCUGUCAGUUUCAUGUUUUACCUGUCGCAUCUUUUUGGACUGGAUAUGAUAAUUAAGAUGUAAGAAUAUUGUAGUAUCAUAUCAAGUGAAUCAUUCUUUGCUAGGCAUAGAGACUGCUUGUGAUUGACAGCUAUGUAUACCUUGUAAAAUAGUAAAGAAAAAAAGGAAAAAAACUAAAAUAGAAUUUGUAAAAAUAAAAAAUCAAGAAAAAAAAAGAAUCAGUAAUCAGUCAGAGGCCAAGGUAAAGGACUCGUUUCUUUGUGUUUUUUAAUUUUAUUUUUUUAAUAGCAACUUAUCACUGUGUGAUAUUUUGUACAUCAUAUUACGCUGUAUUCAAACUGUUUCCUCAAUCAACAGGCCAUAGGAGACCUGCCUUUUUAUUUAGUUUUAUUAUAUAUAUUUUUGAAUUGCAUUCUGGCUUGUAUCUAAUAACAUUUCCCUGUUUCUUUGUUUACGGGUCCCUAUGUACGUUAUUGAGCAAAAAAUAAAGAUUUUGUACAGUGAAAA